rnacentral:rRNA from 1 species
GAUGAACGCUGGCGGCGUGCCUAAUACAUGCAAGUAGAACGCUGAAGGAGGAGCUUGCUCUUCUGGAUGAGUUGCGAACGGGUGAGUAACGCGUAGGUAACCUGCCUGGUAGCGGGGGAUAACUAUUGGAAACGAUAGCUAAUACCGCAUGACAACAGUUAUUGCAUGAUAACUGUUUAAAAGGGGCAACUGCUCCACUACCAGAUGGACCUGCGUUGUAUUAGCUAGUUGGUGAGGUAACGGCUCACCAAGGCGACGAUACAUAGCCGACCUGAGAGGGUGAUCGGCCACACUGGGACUGGGACACGGCCCAGACUCCUACGGGAGGCAGCAGUAGGGAAUCUUCGGCAAUGGACGGAAGUCUGACCGAGCAACGCCGCGUGAGUGAAGAAGGUUUUCGGAUCGGAAAGCUCUGUUGUAAGAGAAGAACGAGUGUGAGAGUGGAAAGUUCACACUGUGACGGUAUCUUACCAGAAAGGGACGGCUAACUACGUG